GCCUGAGUAGCUCAGUUGGUUAAGCAUCUGACUUCGGCUCAGGUCAUGAUCUCACAGUUUGUGGGUUUGAGCCCCACGUCAGGCU
rnacentral:tRNA from 1 species